AUUGAACGCUGGCGGCAGGCCUAACACAUGCAAGUCGAGCGGUAACACAGGGAGCUUGCUCCCGGGUGACGAGCGGCGGACGGGUGAGUAAUGUCUGGGAAACUGCCUGAUGGAGGGGGAUAACUACUGGAAACGGUAGCUAAUACCGCAUAACGUCGCAAGACCAAAGAGGGGGACCUUCGGGCCUCUUGCCAUCAGAUGUGCCCAGAUGGGAUUAGCUAGUAGGUGGGGUAACGGCUCACCUAGGCGACGAUCCCUAGCUGGUCUGAGAGGAUGACCAGCCACACUGGAACUGGGACACGGUCCAGACUCCUACGGGAGGCAGCAGUGGGGAAUAUUGCACAAUGGGCGCAAGCCUGAUGCAGCCAUGCCGCGUGUAUGAAGAAGGCCUUCGGGUUGUAAAGUACUUUCAGCGGGGAGGAAGGUGUUGAGGUUAAUAACCUCAGCAAUUGACGUUACCCGCAGAAGAAGCACCGGCUAACUCCGUGCCAGCCGCCGCCGUAACAC
rnacentral:rRNA from 1 species